rnacentral:rRNA from 1 species
AGAGACAGCAGUAGCCACGGGAAUACGUAGGUGGCAAGCGUUGUCCGGAAUUAUUGGGCGUAAAGCGCGCGCAGGCGGAUCAGUUAGUCUGUCUUAAAAGUUCGGGGCUUAACCCCGUGAGGGGAUGGAAACUGCUGAUCUAGAGUAUCGGAGAGGAAAGUGGAAUUCCUAGUGUAGCGGUGAAAUGCGUAGAUAUUAGGAAGAACACCAGUGGCGAAGGCGACUUUCUGGACGAAAACUGACGCUGAGGCGCGAAAGCCAGGGGAGCGAACGGGAUUAGAGACCCCCGUAGUCCCUGUCUCUUAUACA